GAGGGCUCUGUGGGUGUUCUUCAGCCAGGAACCUAACUGGAUGGUGGAAGCGUGGUGCUCCUGGUUCUAGAGUUCUCAUUUUGUGCAAUGGAGGUUAAAAAGGGCAGUAUGUCAGGUGCCUCUGCUCUAGCAGGUCAAGAAGACUGGGCAGAACACCUUCUAUGUCACUUCUCCCAAGAUCUCUCAGAGCAACAACUGAACGCUUGUCAGGCAGCAUCCAAAAGCAGGACCCAACCUGUGGGAUCUGAAAUGUUGGGGCCUGACCCAGGGCAGUUAAUUGCUGCCAGUGAACGAGGAGGGCAGAGAAGAAGCUGUGGGAAUUGGCUUUGUGGAGUGCAGCCCAGAGGCAGAUCUCAGAGGGUCGUGUCUGUGCACCAAGGGCAGCUGUGAGGAAAAGCCCUUCUCCACAAAGCACCCUGUGUUUCCUGGCAUGCUAAUCUCUCCAGCUCCUGGGGAACAGCUACAAGCAGAAGAACAGCCAGGCAUGCCUCCUUGCAAGCCUCAGGUACAAGGAGGAAGAUCCAACAACGCAGUUGGAAUGGCUUAUGCCCCCCUGGGCAUCCAUCUCUUCAGAUCCUGGUGGAAAAACCCCAUUCCCAGUUUGUCUUAGGUUGAAGCCUCCUAGGUAACAAAGGGCUGACUCACAGUGCUGAGAACCCUUGUAUAGAUGGUCUGUUCUGAUGUUGCUUUGAUAAAUCUUGCUAUGGCCCAGCAUGUAAUGUCUUCCUAACAAGGGAAAAGCUGAGAUUGCAACACAUCUGAUGUAAAACUUUUUAAAAUAGCCCUCAGUGAGGGCUUUUCACAAUCAGCCUGGAUGACUUUGCUGGUGAAGUUGAAAAGGAGUAAUGAUGACAGCGCCAGUGCUUUUUCCCUGUGCAUAUGUGUAACUUAACAUAUGUUUGAA